rnacentral:ncRNA from 1 species
GUCUUCCUUGUCUAGGGGAGCAUAAUGUCCAGGGAUCGUAUUGUGAGGGCAUUGAUGCUGACAACCCUAAAUAAAUCAUCACGCUCAGGAAUGGAAACAUUUCUGGGCGUAAUUUUUGACAGG